CCUACGGUGGGCAGCAGUGAGGAAUAUUGGUCAAUGGCCGGAAGGCUGACCCAGCCAUGCCGCGUGAAGGUCAGUGCCCUAUGGGCGUUACACUUCUUUUGUGCGGGAGCAAUAAUGGUCACGUGUGGCCCGACGAGAGUACCGUACGAAUAAGCAUCGGCUAACUCCGUGCCAGCAGCCGCGGGGAUACGGGGGGUGCAAGCGUGAUCGGGAUUUAUUGGGUUUCAAGGGUGCGUAGGCUGGGAGGUAAGUCAGCGGGGAAAUGCCCCCGCCCAACGGGGUGAAGUGCCAUUGAUACUGGCGUGCUGGAAUGCGGAUGCCGUGGGAGGAAUGUGUGGUGUAGCGGUGAAAUGCAUAGAUAUCACACAGAACACCGAUUGCGAAGGCAUCUCACGAAUCCGCGAUUGACGCUGAUGCACGAAAGCGUGGGUAUCAAACAGGAUUAGAUACCCGGGUAGUC
rnacentral:rRNA from 1 species